CCACCGCCAUCUGUGAGCCGACUGUCCAAAAAAUGUGGGAACCCGGCGUCUCACAUACCUAUGGACCUAUACGGUCUGUUACAGGAAUACUUUUACGUUUUUACCUUUUUACCUUUACCUUACUACAGAAAGCUGUAAAAGCAACGACGAACUAUAUUUUUUUACAUACUGAACGAAAGUUGAAAAUGGGUAAUGAUCAAGUAACGGACUGACCCGAAAACAUAACAUGAUUUUUAGCAUGGGGACAGCUAGAGUAAUUAUGGAGAAUGUAGAGAAUUGCAGGAAAUCGGCCGAGGAACUAGAAUUUGCUGGAUUCCUGCGUUACAGAACUACCGACAUGGACACGGAGACUACUGGAGCAGGAAGCUCCCAGGAAACCAGGCGUAGAGAAUACAGGGUCGAAUGAAGUGGAAGAAAGGACAUGAAUAGUUAGGAAUUUAAAGAUGAUGUUCGUGGCCUCUAUGAAGACAUUAUUCCGACAUCCCCCUGAAGAAGGCAAUGAAAAGAAAAAAGACAAACUUCAGUCAACACACCCAGAAAUCAUUGCGGGUACAUCCAGAAGUAUAUAAUCCAUUUUAAAGAAAGUACGUGUAAUAACAGGAGGUUUCAAAGCAAUUUUUGUUAUUUUCCU